rnacentral:rRNA from 1 species
AAUAUUGGACAAUGGGGGCAACCCUGAUCCAGCCAUUCUGCGUGUGUGAAGAAGGUCUUCGGAUUGUACAGCACUUUAAGUUGGGAGUAAGGGCUUUAGGCUAAUACCCUGAAGUUUUGACGUUACCUACAGAAUAAGCAUCGGCUAACUUCGUGCCAGCAGCCGCGGCAAUACGAAGUGUUCAAGCGUUAAUCGGAAUUACUGGUCGUAAAGCGCGCGUAGGUGGUUCAGUAAGAUGGGUGUGAAAUCCCCGGGCUUAACCUGGGAACUGCUUUCAUAACUGCUGAGCUAGAGUACGGUAGAGGGUAGUGGAAUUUCCUGUGUAGCGGUGAAAUGCGUAGAUAUAGGAAGGAACACCAGUGGCGAAGGCGACUACCUGGACUGAUACUGACACUGAGGUGCGAAAGCGUGGGGAGCAAAC